GGGAGCCCCGAGGCGGCUCCGCAGGCCGAGCCCUUCCCUUCCCCUCGCACAAAAUUUCGUUUUAGGAACUGAUUGUCGAGAGGAGACUUCAAGCCUCGGAAAUCAGGAAAUGACAACACGCCCAGGGAGGUUGUUUUGCUGGCUACAAGGAGAAAGAAGUAAAAAAAUACCACUCGGGUCUAAUAUUUGUGAGAGGUAUAGAACUUUUACAUUCAUCGGAUCUUCCACAAAAGGAAGGAGAGAACAUUGACCUUACAAACAAGAUCAGAUCUACUUUAACCAGAAAUAUUGCGAACAAAUCCCUGCAAGCAUCUUUUCCCUACUGCGCCGGAUGCUUCUCAAAGGUAGAUCGUAACUUCAGCACAGUCCGUCCUCCCACCUCAGGGAGCUGUAACAAAGUCACGUCCAGGGUUGUUUUGACUUCUUCUAAGUUCUUUGGUGGAAAGAAAUAUCCAGUGGAAGAGCGUAGCCACGGCAAUGCUGUUUGGCCAUCACAGAAUGCUUCAAAUGCCCAUUUACUGAUCCCAGUGUCCUGUAUGUGAGUCCAUGAGGACACAAAGGAAGGAGAUCUCUUCUGCACAACUGAGACAUUUCUCCUGAUCAACCCUGGAACAAC